ACUCAAAUGAAUUGACGGGGGCUCACACAAGCGGUGGAGCAUGUGGCUCAAUUCGAAGCAACGCGAAGAACCUUAUCCAAGGCUUGACAUGCAUGGAUUAGUUCCUGGAAACAGGAUCAACACCCGCAAGGGCGGAACAUGCACAGGUGCUGCAUGGCUGUCGUCAGCUCGUGCUGUGAAGUGUCGGGUUAAGUCCCUUAACGAGCGAAACCCCUGUCGCUAGUUGCUAAGACGCAAGUCAGGACUCUAGCGAGACUGCCGGUGUCAAACCGGAGGAAGGUGGGGACGACGUCAAGUCCUCAUGGCCUUUAUGCCUUGGGCUGCACACGUGCUACAAUGGCGUAUACAGAGCGACGCGAUGCCGCAAGGUGGAGCAAAUCGCACAAAAUACGCCUCAGUUCAGAUUGGGGUCUGCAACUCGACCCCAUGAAGCUGGAAUCGCUAGUAAUCGCGCAUCAGCUACGGCGCGGUGAAUGUGUUCCUGAGCCUUGUACACACCGCCCGU
rnacentral:rRNA from 1 species